UCACUCGUCGCGACGGACGAAAUCGGCUACUCGACCCGAGUGCAAGUCGUCGGACUCGAUUUUAUAACAACUGCAUGAUGGUGAUGAUUCGCAACAGAGGACAGAACAGGCCUUAAUGAUUAAACGAGAUAUGAUGAGAACGAGAACGCAAGACAGAGAAAAAUGAUAGAGUAUAGCCGGUGAUCGACACAGAAAUCGAGACGAGAGACAGUGGAAAAACAAUUGACAGAGACAGACAUACGCACACUUAUAUAUCUAAUUUUUGAUCCUUUGCUCAAGGUGCAAAAUCGUACGUGGAGAAAACAUCCAGGAAAUGCGUUGUUAGUAGAAAAAAAAACCAAGCGGCGUUCCAGGUUGUUCUUGGCGAACGCGCACUUACGUCGGUAAUAAGCAUUUCCUCGCCGUCAUCGAGACCGGGUAUUGAGGUCUUUCCUUGCGAGACGAAGUGGUAGUCAUUGAUGUUUUUGGACAGCAGACACUUUUCUGAGGUUUUUGAAAAUAAAAAAAACACAUGCUUGGAUGAGCCAACGAACCUUGGGUGACCAUGUUUUCUUAUGGCUUUGCCACGGUUCCUGACGGAUUGAAACUACUGAGCCAUACCGAAUACAUUUGUAACUAUUUUAGAGUGAUAAAACGUAUUAAAAAGAGCUUCAGUAUGAUUCAGUAGCAUUGAUUACACACCCGCUUUUUUCGGGUUUCAUUUAAGGAUGGUAUGUUCUAUAUACAGGGGAAGGUGUACAAAUAAGUCUCGAUAACUACUUGGAUAUUUGAGACUGUCAAUCAAUCCCCGUUUUUGGGGGUUCUCGACUUUAGUAUACGACACUUU